UACGGAGGGAGCGAGCGUUGUCCGAAGUUACUGGGCGUAAAGCGCGCGUAGGCGGGAAAUUAAGUGAGAAGUGAAAGGCUGGGGCUUAACCCCAUGCAGUGCUCCUCAUACUGGUUUUCUUGAGGGUGGUAGAGAGAAGUGGAAUGGCUGGUGUAGCGGUGAAAUGCGUAGAUAUCAGUCGGAACACCAGUGGCGAAGGCGGCAUCCUGGACCGGUAUUGACGCUGAGGCGCGAAAGCCAGGGGAGCAAACGGG
rnacentral:rRNA from 1 species